rnacentral:rRNA from 1 species
AACAGAUAAGGAGCUUGCUCCUUUGAAGUUAGCGGCGGACGGGUGAGUAACACGUGGGUAACCUACCUAUAAGACUGGGAUAACUUCGGGAAACCGGAGCUAAUACCGGAUAACAUUUAGAACCGCAUGGUUCUAAAGUGAAAGAUGGUUUUGCUAUCACUUAUAGAUGGACCCGCGCCGUAUUAGCUAGUUGGUAAGGUAACGGCUUACCAAGGCGACGAUACGUAGCCGACCUGAGAGGGUGAUCGGCCACACUGGAACUGAGACACGGUCCAGACUCCUACGGGAGGCAGCAGUAGGGAAUCUUCCGCAAUGGGCGAAAGCCUGACGGAGCAACGCCGCGUGAGUGAUGAAGGGUUUCGGCUCGUAAAACUCUGUUAUUAGGGAAGAACAAAUGUGUAAGUAACUGUGCACAUCUUGACGGUACCUAAUCAGAAAGCCACGGCUAACUACGUGCCAGCAGCCGCGGUAAUACGUAGGUGGCAAGCGUUAUCCGGAAUUAUUGGGCGUAAAGCGCGCGUAGGCGGUUUCUUAAGUCUGAUGUGAAAGCCCACGGCUCAACCGUGGAGGGUCAUUGGAAACUGGGAAACUUGAGUGCAGAAGAGGAAAGUGGAAUUCCAUGUGUAGCGGUGAAAUGCGCAGAGAUAUGGAGGAACACCAGUGGCGAAGGCGACUUUCUGGUCUGUAACUGACGCUGAUGUGCGAAAGCGUGGGGAUCAAACAGGAUUAGAUACCCUGGUAGUCCACGCCGUAAACGAUGAGUGCUAAGUGUUAGGGGGUUUCCGCCCCUUAGUGCUGCA